rnacentral:rRNA from 1 species
GGACCUGACUGCUAUCGGAUUGAUACUAAGCCAUGCUAGUCUUUGUAGUAAUACAAGGCAUACGGCUCAGUAACGCGUAGUCAACCUACCCUAUGGACGGGAAUAAUCUCGGGAAACUGAGCAUAAUACCCGGUAGACCACUUAUCCUGGAAUGGUUAGUGGUUAAAAUGAUUCGUCGCCAUAGGAUGGGACUGCGGCCUAUCAGCUUGUUGGUGAGGUAAUGGCCCACCAAGGCGAUUACAGGUACGGGCUCUGAGAGGAGAAGCCCGGAGAUGGGUACUGAGACAAGGACCCAGGCCCUAUGGGGCGCAGCAGGCGAGAAAACUUUGCAAUGUGCGAAAGCACGACAAGGUUAAUCCGAGUGAUUUCUGCUAAAGGAAUCUUUUGUUAGUUCUAAAAAUACUAGUGAAUAAGGGGUGGGCAAGUUCUGGUGU